rnacentral:rRNA from 1 species
GAUGAACGCUGGCGGCGUGCAUAACACAUGUAAGUCGAACGAUGAAUCCUGCCUUUGGCAGGUGGAUUAGUGGCGGACGGGUGAGUAACACGUAGGUGACCUGCCCCAAAGAGAGGAAUAACUUUGCGAAAGUGGAGCUAAUACCUCGUAUGAUCGAUUAUUCGUUUGAUCGAUUAAAGCUCUGGCGCUUUGGGAGGGGCCUGCGGCCCAUCAGCUAGUUGGUAGGGUAAUGGCCUACCAAGGCUAGGACGGGUAGCCGGUCUGAGAGGACGAUCAGCCACAAUGGCACUGAAAUACGGGCCAUACUCCUACGGGAGGCAGCAGUGAGGAAUAUUGGACAAUCGACGAAAGUCGGAUCCAGCAACGCCGCGUGGACGAUGAAGGCCUUCGGGUUGUAAAGUCCUUUUAAGAGGGAAGAGGAAGGACGGUACCUCUUGAAUAAGUCUCGGCUAACUACGUGCCAGCAGCCGCGGUAACACGUAGGAGGCAAGCGUUAUCCGGAUUUAUUGGGCGUAAAGCGCGCGUAGGUGGCCAAGUAAGUCGGAUGUGAAAGCCCCGAACUUAAUUCGGGGAGGUCAUUCGAUACUGUUUGGCUUGAGAACGGGAGAGGGAAGCGGAAUUCUCGGUGUAGUGGUGAAAUGCGUAGAUAUCGAGAGGAACACCAGUGGCGAAGGCGGCUUCCUGGCUCGUUUCUGACACUAAGGCGCGAAAGCGUGGGGAGCGAACGGAAUUAGAGACUCCGGUAGUCCACGCCGUAAACGAUGGGUACUGGGUGUGGGGAGUAUUAAUCCUCUCUGUGCCGUAGCUAACGCGUUAAGUACCCCGCCUGCAGACUACGGCCGCAAGGCUA